UAGGGAAUCUUGCGCAAUGGACGAAAGUCUGACGCAGCGACGCCGCGUGAGCGAUGAAGGCCUUCGGGUUGUAAAGCUCUGUGGGGAGAGACGAAUAAGGCAUGGCUAACAUCCAUGUCGAUGACGGUAUCUCCUUAGCAAGCACCGGCUAACUCUGUGCCAGCAGCCGCGGUAAUACGGGGGGAGCAAGCGUUGUUCGGAUUUACUGGGCGUAAAGGGCGCGUAGGCGGCCACCGCAAGUCGGUUGUGAAAUCUCUGGGCUUAACCCAGAAAGGUCAACCGAUACUGCGGGGCUAGAGUGCAGAAGGGGCAACUGGAAUUCUCGGUGUAGCGGUGAAAUGCGUAGAUAUCGAGAGGAACACCUGCGGCGAAGGCGGGUUGCUGGGCUGACACUGACGCUGAAGCGCGAAAGCUAGGGGAGCGAAC
rnacentral:rRNA from 1 species